CAGUCGCCGCGGUAAUACGUAGGUGGCAAGCGUUGUCCGGAAUUAUCGGGCGUAAAGCGCGCGCAGGCGGAUCAGUCAGUCUGUCUUAAAGGUUCGGGGCUUAACCCCGUGAUGGGGUGGAAACUGCUGAUCUAGAGUAUCGGAGAGGAAAGUGGAAUUCCUAGUGUAGCGGUGAAAUGCGUAGAUAUUAGGAAGAACACCAGUGGCGAAGGCGACUUUCUGGACGAAAACUGACGCUGAGGCGCGAAAGCCAGGGGAGCGAACGGGAUUAGAUACCCCGGUAGUCCCUGUCUCUUAUACC
rnacentral:rRNA from 1 species